UAUAUCAACCAUAUGAAAUAUGUCUAUGAAAUAAUUAUGUAUCCUCUAAAUCUAGUCUAGUUUCCUUGCCGUGUGGAAUCGCAAUUAAGAAUGAUAUCUUCCAAUGAUAAAAACAUAAUAAACGUAAAAGUUCUGCAAUGAUUUUCAACAGACCGCAGAAUUAUUUUCCCGUGUAGCUGCCAUUGGUUUUGUUUGUAAAAAUAAACAGCUGGUUCGGUGAAAUCAGAAUGUUAAACUUUUGUGCUUUCUGCAAUUAUUUCUUGUACUGAAAACCAAGGUUUUCUUGCCGGAAAAAUGUGGAAGCAAAGUCCACUUAGCUGCAAAACAAAGGCGUAAUAUUGGUCAGAAUAAUAUUCUUUUGGAUGCAGCUUCCCGGCCACCCAAAUAAAGACAAACUGACUAUUUUGCCCAUAAAUUUUAUGUAAGGAAAACGAAUACAAAUAAAUAAUCAAAAUGUGACAAA